UACAGGGGGGGCAAGCGUUGUUCGGAAUUACUGGGCGUAAAGGGCCAGUAGGCGGCCAACUAAGUCCGACGUGAAAUCCCCAGGCUUAACCUGGGAACUGCGUCGGAUACUGGAUGGCUUGAAUUCGGGAGAGGGAUGUAGAAUUCCAGGUGUAGCGGUGAAAUGCGUAGAUAUCUGGAGGAAUACCGGUGGCGAAGGCGGCAUCCUGGACCAUUACUGACGCUGAGGCGCGAAAGCUAGGGGAGCAAACGGG
rnacentral:rRNA from 1 species